rnacentral:rRNA from 1 species
GAAUCAUUGGGUUUAAAGGGUCCGCAUGCGGUCAAUUAAGUCAGAGGUGAAAUCCCAUAGCUUAACUAUGGAACUGCCUUUGAUACUGGUUGACUUGAGUUAUACGGAAGUAGAUAGAAUAAGUAGUGUAGCGGUGAAAUGCAUAGAUAUUACUUAGAAUACCGAUUGCGAAGGCAGUCUACUACGUAUAUACUGACGCUCAUGGACGAAAGCGUGGGGAGCGAACAGGAUUAGAUACCCUGGUAGUCCACGCCGUAAACGAUGGACACUAGUUGUUGGGAUUAUUCUCAGUGACUAAGCGAAAGUGAUAAGUGUCCCACCUGGGGAGUACGAUCGCAAGAUUGAAACUCAAAGGAAUUGACGGGGGCCCGCACAAGCGGUGGAGCAUGUGGUUUAAUUCGAUGAUACGCGAGGAACCUUACCAGGGCUUAAAUGUAGAGUGACAGACUGAGAGAUCGGUUUUUCUUCGGACACUUUACAAGGUGCUGCAUGGUUGUCGUCAGCUCGUGCCGUGAGGUGUCAGGUUAAGUCCUAUAACGAGCGCAACCCCUAUCGUUAGUUGCUAGCAGGUAAUGCUGAGGACUCUAGCGAGACUGCCGGUGCAAACCGCGAGGAAGGUGGGGAUGACGUCAAAUCAUCACGGCCCUUACGUCCUGGGCUACACACGUGCUACAAUGGUAUGGACAAUGAGCAGCCACAAUGCGAAUAGGAGCGAAUCUAUAAACCAUAUCA